CUGUGAUUAUGCCACUGCACUCCACCCCAGGCAACGGAGUGGGACCCUGUCUCCAAAACAAAACACAAAAAACCCCACACGGGUCACUCUUCACUGUUUUACUUACAAGUGGACGAAGGGCAUAAACAAUUAAACAUAAUGAAACUGACCCAUAAACAUAUGUAAAAAUACUCAACUACACUAAUAAUCGAAAAGUAUAAUUAAAACAAUGAAACGGUCAAGCGUCUACUUAAUUGCAAAGGUAUUUUCAAAUGGCAAUGCCCAGGGCUGGCAGCCGAGCCAGGAAAAAGCCUCCCUCAGACCCCACGAGCGGGCACAUAAAAUGGGACAAACUUCCCAAACAGCAAUUUUGCAAAACGUGCCAAUUCCCCUAAAGGUUAUUUAUUAUUUAUCCAGUUAUUUCUAUCACUUCCAGAAACCAUACUGAGAAAAUAACCAGAAAUCUGAACAAAGAUUUAUACACUGUCUCAUCAUAACAUGAGUUAUAAUAUUAAAAAAUCAGAAGCAACCUAAAUGUCUAAUAGCACAAAAGUGGUUAAAUUAUUGGUAAUUCCCAAUAAUGAAAUAUAUGCAUGUAUUUCCAAAGAGUCUCCUGAAAAAGGAGAUGAGAUCAGGAAACAUGCCUGACCGUGAGGAAGCCAUGAUUGCACAUAGUAUUUGGCCCUUUCUUUUCUAAGUAGUUGUAAGUCAAUUAUUUUAAAAUUCUAGUUCUCUUUCUAAAUACAGAAGCAAAGCAGCCCAUGAUAGAUGCCGUGCUGAGGCUCCUCUCCCUAGGCAGCACUGCAUCAGGAAUAAUCCCACACUCAGCAUCCUUGGAAUGAGAAGUAUAAAGAGGAGGAGAAGUUCAUCUCAGAACUUCAAAAAGACCUGCGCUGAAAUCCUCGACUCUACUGCGCUAUGCAGGAGGAGUCUUAGACCCACUUGAUUGAUGAAAACACUCAGACUCAGACCAGGAGCAGACAGGUAGAGAGCCGUGGAACCAGCUUGGAGAAAGCUACUGGCUUAGAGCUCCCACCUCCAGAAGGCCUUUCUCCGUCCGGCCCAUCCAGCCACCACCACCUCACACCCUGCCUCCUGCACUGUCAUCCAUCUGCCCUGAUAGACUGGAAAACACCUUCAACGCAGGAAUUACUCCCCAUGGUAUCCGCAGCACUUAGCCCAGUGCCCAGCACAGAGAAGGGGCUCGAUGAUAGUAGCUGAAUGACUAAAUUCUAUACAUCAGUCACUUGUGAAUUCAUUGUCCAUCCUCCGCCCUGCUCCCGCAACCACUCCACCUGAGCACACAGAUCUUCGUCCAGCCACCAUGGACUCCACAGCCCAUCCAGCUAGGAGCUCAGCCAAGUCUCUGGUGCAGAACAGACACCAUCUCAAUGUCCAGCUGCAGAAUUCCUGAAAUCGCUACCUUGUUACUCAAGGGCAGAUCAUGACUGCACUGUGCUUUUCACUCAGCU
rnacentral:lncRNA from 1 species